rnacentral:rRNA from 1 species
AUUGAACGCUGGCGGCAUGCUUUACACAUGCAAGUCGAACGGCAGCGCGGGCUUCGGCCUGGCUGCGAGUGGCGAACGGGUGAGUAAUGCAUCGGAACGUGCCCAGCAGUGGGGGAUAGCCCGGCGAAAGCCGGAUUAAUACCGCAUACGACCUGAGGGUGAAAGCGGGGGACCGAAAGGCCUUGCGCUAUUGGAGCGGCCGAUGUCGGAUUAGCUAGUUGGUGGGGUAAAGGCUUACCAAGGCGACGAUCCGUAGCUGGUCUGAGAGGACGACCAGCCACACUGGAACUGAGACACGGCCCAGACUCCUACGGGAGGCAGCAGUGGGGAAUUUUGGACAAUGGGGGCAACCCUGAUCCAGCCAUGCCGCGUGCGGGAAGAAGGCCUUCGGGUUGUAAAGCGCUUUUGUUCGGGAAGAAAUCCUCUGGGCUAAUACCCCGGGGGGAUGACGGUACCGGAAGAAUAAGCACCGGCUAACUACGUG